rnacentral:rRNA from 1 species
AUUGAACGCUGGCGGCAGGCCUAACACAUGCAAGUCGAACGGUAACAGGAAACAGCUUGCUGUUUCGCUGACGAGUGGCGGACGGGUGAGUAAUGUCUGGGAAACUGCCUGAUGGAGGGGGAUAACUACUGGAAACGGUAGCUAAUACCGCAUAACGUCGCAAGACCAAAGAGGGGGACCUUCGGGCCUCUUGCCAUCGGAUGUGCCCAGGUGGGAUUAGCUAGGAGGUGAGGUAACGGCUCACCUCGGCGACGAUCCCUAGCUGGUCUGAGAGGAUGACCAGCCACACUGGAACUGAGACACGGUCCAGACUCCUACGGGAGGCAGCAGUGGGGAAUAUUGCACAAUGGGCGCAAGCCUGAUGCAGCCAUGCCGCGUGUAUGAAGAAGGCCUUCGGGUUGUAAAGUACUUUCAGCGGGGAGGAAGGGAGUAAAGUUAAUACCUUUGCUCAUUGACGUUACCCGCAGAAGAAGCACCGGCUAACUCCGUGCCAGCAGCCGCAGUAA